UACCCACUCUGGAAUUAAGGCGUACAGCUGUGACAUUUGUGGAAAAACUUUCAGCCGGAUAGGGAGCCGAAAUACACACCUACGCAUUCACACCAGACAUGAUGUGUACAGCUGUGAUCAGUGUGGUAAACAGUUUACUACAAACACAGAGUUACGACGUCACAUGUUUACCCACACUGAGGAACGACCUUAUAAAUGUGACCUGUGUGAGAAGACUUUUAAAUCUCCACGUUACCUGAAAGCACACCAACAGAUCCACACCAGAAAGACUCUACAAGUGCAGUUACUGUGAGAAGCAGAGCGACACAGAUGGAUCAAGUUCUCAACCCUGUCAUCGCUGUGGGAAAGACUUUUGUUGUGACCUUUGUGGAAAAACUUGAAGUCAUUGAAGGACUCUGAAAAUACAUCAACGUAGACACACUGGAGACAAAAUGAACUACUGUAAAGAAUGCGGGAGAGGCUUCACCACUUCAAAGGACUUCAAACAAUAUGAACUCCUUCACAGUGGCGUUAAAAAGCAUGUCUGCGAUCAGCGUGGGUCAUCCUUCAUCAGUGCACGUCAGCUUGAAAAGCAUAAACGAGUCCACACAUGAGAGAAACCAUACAAGUGCAGACACUGUGACAAAACCUUUUCACAAUCAUGUGAUCAUACUAAGCAUGAACGCAGACACAUGAAAGAGAACUUCAUCUGUGAAAGAGUUUGAGUAAUCUCAGUUCAUACUCCACUCAGAAACGAUUCCAUGUUACAAAUAAACUGUUACGUCUUGA